rnacentral:lncRNA from 1 species
CAGAUUCCCGCCUGCCUCCUCGUGGGAAGCGGCCGCCGCGCUCGCUCCGGGGCGCCCGUUCUGACCGCUCUGAGCCUCGGCGGGGUGAGCGAGGGGGCACACGCGGGAGACUAUGGCUGUGUUGUUUUUAGAAAACUGCAGCCAAUCUCUCUUCCCCCUUCCCUGCUGAGUGUGCAUUUCCCAGCCUAGACCCGCCAGGCCCACAAAUAAAGCCACCGAGAUCGUGCACUCAGCUAGGGACCGCCCCCAGCGUGACCCCGUGCCCCCUGGCUCCCUCCUGCCUCUCCUCGGGGAACGGCUCCUCGGGCGGCUCAGCGCUCAGAAAACGCAGGGCUCCUUUCCUGCUCGGCAGCCGAGCGCUUCUGCCAGCGUUCUCCAACCAACUAAUAAGCCAUGCACUGGGUACUCAGAGGAAAUGUCAUAUUUAAGUUCUGCCUCUGAUUUCCCUGGUCUUAGCGGAUCUGAGGCUUCUCCGGGUUCCUCGUUUGCACGCACAGUACUGGGUAAUGGAGCCCUACCGCACUGAGGGAUAAUUGCUGGCUGGUGGGUUGGUACAGAGCAAAUUGUCCUUGCUAACAGCCCCUUUCCUUUGCUGUUGGAUUCCACUAAGUGGUGGAAAGGGCCAGUUUUAGGUUUCUGCAAUUCCCCACCAAGGCAGACAGACAGACUUUCUAUGAGAGUAAAGCGAUGGCCCGAGGGAGAACUCAGCAGUGUUCCUUUGCUUUUUAUUUUUUUUUAUUUUUUUGGUCUCAAGAACACAUCCCUCUUCCUGAUAUCAGAGAUCCCCAGCCUGGACAGGACCCAGUUCCCCGGAAGGGGAGAUGCCUCCAGAAUGCCCGGCAGGGGCCGUCAGUGGGCAAUACCCUGCCUCUUGCACUCCCACCAGGGCGACUGCACUCAGCUUGGACUCCCGGAGCCUGGCUGGAACCGUGGCCCAUCAUUAAGAAUAGACUGGAUGGCAAAUGCUCAUUCCUUUCAUCAAGCUGUCAUCAAUUUGUCAGAAAUAAGAUGAAAUCGAUUGCUCCCAGAAGGCCAUUUGAGCCACUAACUUCCUCAAAGUACUUCAGACUGAUGCACUAUAUGGAGAUUCAGAAAGCCAAAUCAGCCUGAUGAAAUUAAGGUGGGAUAUUUGUUUUCUACUUCACAUUUGUCUUUCUUGUUUGAAUUGUUUUAAUAAUAAAAUACUUGGCUUUUAGAAAGAAAGACAGGAAGAGAGAGAGAAUAGAAGAGAAGAGAAGAAAAAGGAAAGCUCACAGUGCCUGCAUAUCUGCAUAUUUCUAUUUUGUCUUGACAAAGUAUGCUGAUUAUAGAACUUCUUAAAGGUCAUUUGGUAAAG